UGCACACCCAGUCCCUUUGAUAUGAAGCAUCAACAUCAAUUAAAUCUCAUGGGUCUUAUAGUGCACCAGGCAAGUUACAGGCAAGUCACCUACAGAAGGGGCGAUAUAUGAAACCAAAAACAAAGAUUACUGGCAGUGAGAGUGAUCUGUAGGGUGUGUUCUGUAGACAGCUGGAAUGACAGGACUCCUGACACUCAGAAGGUUCAUCUGAGAGCAGUCAGCUAUAGGAGCUCACCGCUGUGUGGGAGGAAACAUCAGAAAAUGCAGAGAAGUCGAACGCAAGCGAUCAUGUAAAAAAAAAGAUGAAACCGUUUAAAAGGUGAAGCAGACUCACCAAAGUUGGUUGAGUGUUUUACACAUUUCAGAUUCCACCUGGCUCAAGUUCAGACUGGAGAUCACUUCUUUAAAAAAAACAACAGUUUCUGUAUACAAUACCAAAAAUGUGGGGCCAGUUCAAAAUAGAUUUUCUCUAAGAAAUAAAUACUUUCAUUCAACAAGGAUGCCUUAAACUGCAUCAAAAGUAGUUACUGUUUACAAAUAUUAC